rnacentral:rRNA from 1 species
CCCCGUACACAAAAAUGCACAUAUUGUGAGCUCGAUGAGUAGGGCGGGACACGUGGUAUCCUGUCUGAAUAUGGGGGGACCAUCCUCCAAGGCUAAAUACUCCUGACUGACCGAUAGUGAACCAGUACCGUGAGGGAAAGGCGAAAAGAACCCCGGCGAGGGGAGUGAAAAAGAACCUGAAACCGUGUACGUACAAGCAGUGGGAGCACGCUUAGGCGUGUGACUGCGUACCUUUUGUAUAAUGGGUCAGCGACUUAUAUUCUGUAGCAAGGUUAACCGAAUAGGGGAGCCGAAGGGAAACCGAGUCUUAACUGGGCGUUAAGUUGCAGGGUAUAGACCCGAAACCCGGUGAUCUAGCCAUGGGCAGGUUGAAGGUUGGGUAACACUAACUGGAGGACCGAACCGACUAAUGUUGAAAAAUUAGCGGAUGACUUGUGGCUGGGGGUGAAAGGCCAAUCAAACCGGGAGAUAGCUGGUUCUCCCCGAAAGCUAUUUAGGUAGCGCCUCGUGAAUUCAUCUCCGGGGGUAGAGCACUGUUUCGGCAAGGGGGUCAUCCCGACUUACCAACCCGAUGCAAACUGCGAAUACCGGAGAAUGUUAUCACGGGAGACACACGGCGGGUGCUAACGUCCGUCGUGAAGAGGGAAACAACCCAGACCGCCAGCUAAGGUCCCAAAGUCAUGGUUAAGUGGGAAACGAUGUGGGAAGGCCCAGACAGCCAGGAUGUUGGCUUAGAAGCAGCCAUCAUUUAAAGAAAGCGUAAUAGCUCACUGGUCGAGUCGGCCUGCGCGGAAGAUGUAACGGGGCUAAACCAUGCACCGAAGCUGCGGCAGCGACGCUGAUGCGUUGUUGGGUAGGGGAGCGUUCUGUAAGCCUGCGAAGGUGUGCUGUGAGGCAUGCUGGAGGUAUCAGAAGUGCGAAUGCUGACAUAAGUAACGAUAAAGCGGGUGAAAAGCCCGCUCGCCGGAAGACCAAGGGUUCCUGUCCAACGUUAAUCGGGGCAGGGUGAGUCGACCCCUAAGGCGAGGCCGAAAGGCGUAGUCGAUGGGAAACAGGUUAAUAUUCCUGUACUUGGUGUUACUGCGAAGGGGGGACGGAGAAGGCUAUGUUGGCCGGGCGACGGUUGUCCCGGUUUAAGCGUGUAGGCUGGU